rnacentral:rRNA from 1 species
GUAAGGAAUAUUGGACAAUGGCCGAAAGGCUGAUCCAGCCAUGCCGCGUGCAGGAUGAAGGUGCUCUGCAUUGUAAACUGCUUUUGUUCGGGAAUAAACCCCUCUACGUGUAGAGGGCUGAAUGUACCGAAAGAAUAAGGGACGGCUAACUUCGUGCCAGCAGCCGCGGUAAUACGAAGGUCCCAAGCGUUAUCCGGAUUUAUUGGGUUUAAAGGGUGCGUAGGCGGGUUGUUAAGUCAGUGGUGAAAGCCGGCAGCUCAACUGUCGAAUUGCCAUUGAUACUGACGAUCUUGAAUGUGGUUGAGGUGGGCGGAAUGUAUCAUGUAGCGGUGAAAUGCUUAGAUAUGAUACAGAACACCGAUUGCGAAGGCAGCUCACUAAGUCACUAUUGACGCUGAGGCACGAAAGCGUGGGGAGCAAACAGGAUUAGAUACCCCAGUAGUCC